GAUGAAGAACGUAGCAAAAUGCGAUACUUGGUGUGAAUUGCAGAAUCCCGUGAACCAUCGAGUUUUUGAACGCAAGUUGCGCCCGAAGCCUUUUGGCCGAGGGCACGCCUGCCUGGGCGUCACGCAUCGCGUCGCCCCCCACAAUUCUCCGUAAAGGGAACGUGUGUUUUGGGGGCGGAUAUUGGUCUCCCGUGCUCAUGGCGUGGUUGGCCGAAAUAGGAGUCCUUUCGAUGGACGCACGAACUAGUGGUGGUCGUAAAAACCCUCGUCUUUUGUUUCGUGCUGUUGCUCGCAAGGUAAACUCUUUAAAAACCCCAAUGUGUCGUCUCUUGACGACGCUUCGACCGCGACCCCAGGUCAGGCGGGACUACCCGCUGAGUUUAAGCAUAUCAAUAAGCGGAGGA
rnacentral:misc_RNA from 1 species